AUUGAACGCUGGCGGCAGGCUUAACACAUGCAAGUCGAGCGGAGUGAUGGUGCUUGCACUAUCACUUAGCGGCGGACGGGUGAGUAAUGCUUAGGAAUCUGCCAUUUAGUGGGGGACAACAUUCCGAAAGGAAUGCUAAUACCGCAUACGUCCUACGGGAGAAAGCAGGGGAUCUUCGGACCUUGCGCUAAAUGAUGAGCCUAAGUCGGAUUAGCUAGUUGGUGGGGUGAAGGCCUACCAAGGCGACGGUCUGUAGCGGGUCUGAGAGGAUGGUCCGCCACACUGGGACUGAGACACGGCCAAGACUCCUACGGGAGGCAGGAGUGGGGAAUAUUGGACAAUGGGCGGAAGCCUGAUCCAGCCAUGCGGCGUGUGUGAAGAAGGCCUUUUGGUUGUAAAGCACUUUAAGCGAGGAGGAGGCUACUAGUACUAAUACUACUGGAUAGUGGACGUUACUCGCAGAAUAAGCACCGGCUAACUCUGUGCCAGCAGCCGCCGUAAUAC
rnacentral:rRNA from 1 species